GCCUGGGUGGCUCAGUCGGUUGAGCAUCCGACUUUGGCUGGUCAUGAUCUCGUGGUUGGUGGGUUCGAGCCCCACGUCAGGCU
rnacentral:tRNA from 1 species